AUGUCCGGCAGCCCGCUGGUCCUCGACCUCUCCGGCCCCAUCGUCUGGUCCACCUGCGACGGCGGCGCCUCCCACGACACGCUCGAGUGCAACGACAUCGACUGCAUGCGCGCGCACCGCUUCCACCCGCCCAACUGCCCGCACACCGGCUACGGCAUGCCGGACGCCGACAACCCUUAUCGCUGCAAGUGCACCGCACACCCGCACAACCCCGUCUCCGAGGACACCGCGUCGGGGGACAUGACCCGCGUGGCGCUCUCCGCCAACGCCACCGACGGCAGGAACCCGUUGGGCCCGGUAUCGUUCACCGCCGUGGCGUCUUGCGCGCCGGACUCCCUGUUAGCGGGGCUGCCGGCGGGGGCUGUCGGCGUCGCGGGGCUCGCGCACUCAGGCCUCGCGUUCCUCGCUCAGGCCGCGCGCACGCAGGGCGUCGCUAACUCGUUCGCGCUCUGCCUCGGGAGCCGCGGCCGUGGCGGCGUCGCCAUCUUCGGCGGGGGCCCGCUCUUCGCGGCGAACGGGCGGUCCAUCACGGACAUGCUGGGCGGCGACACCCCGCUCCGCAAGCACGGGGAUUCCCCCGGCUACUACGUCUCGGCCAGCAGGGGCGUCUUCGUUGACGGAGCGCAGGUGCCGCUGGACACGUACGCACCGCUCACCAUCGGCUUCUCCACGACGACCCCGUACGCGCAGGUGCGCCACGACGUGUACCGCCCGCUCAUCGACGCGUUCGACCGGGCCAUGGAACGCGAGGGUGCGAUAACCGCCGGUGCGAGGGUCCCCUCCCCGGCCGGGUCGCCGUUCGAGCUGUGCUACAACUCUUCGAGGCUGUCACUGACGCGGUUCGGCUACUUCGUGCCGACGGUCGGCUUUGGGCUGGAGGGCGGCUCGGGCUGGGCGGUGCAGGGCAUCAACUCCAUGGCGCUGGUGAUCGGACGCCCCACGGCGUGCUUCGGUUUCGUGGAGAUGAAGGAGGGAGACAAUGCCGGGUAUGGCGGCGGUGCGGCGCCAGCGGUGGUGCUCGGAGGGUUGCAGAUGGAGGAGAACCUGGUGGUGUUCAACGAAGAGAAGCAGACCAUGGCCUUCACCGGGCAGAUCAACGGGAGGGGGCUCUUCUGCAGCAACUUCAAUUUUACCGUGCCCGCCUAG
rnacentral:rRNA from 1 species